CAUACACAAUGACGUAGACACGAGUGCAUUGGUUGUGGGCUAUAUAACAGAGGCUCCGAUGCAGACCAUAGUAUUCCUGCUCGAAUCCUCAGUGCAAUAGACAGACAGAGGAAAGCGUGUGUGUUGUAUUAGUGUGUAGCUGUCAAACAGAGAUGCGUCGUGUUUUAAUCAUGCUGUUGGCCGUCACCUGUCUGUUGGGUGUCAGUCUCGCCAGCCCGAUUUAUCUCGUUGGCAGCACACAUAGGGGUCCUUCUUAUCCAUUCUAUUAUUCGGGUUAUCAAGAUUAUUACCAACCCCAUUAUUACCAGCACCACUAUCAUCAAUUCUCACCGCAGCCGGGGUACCACUUCGCUCAUCGUCGCCACUUUGGCUACCCUGGACCCUACGUAUACGAUGAUUUCCUCGGGGGCUGAAGAAUGGAGGUGUUGGUUCGAAUCCACAUCAUUGCCUUCACUUGUGGCUGAUAUUGUUGUUGUUGAUGUUAAUGUUGACGUUUUUCUUCACUUGUUUGUUAUUUCAUCGAUUGAAUAACUUUUUAUUUUUUGUCCAUAUCAUUGGCUUCACUUGUGGUUGAUAUUGUUGUUGUUGAUGUUGAUGUUGAUGUUGAUGUUUUCUUCAGUUGUUUGUUAUUUCGCCGAUUGAAUAACUUUUUUAUAUUUUUAUCUAUAUGUUUAAUUAUUUUGUCUGUUUAUUUCAAGGUCUCUUUUUGUGUAUUUCGUUUGUCCCUCUGUUUAUCGUCUAGUUGUUUAAUUUAUUCAUCUGUCUAUUCAGGUAUUUUAUUAUUUUUAUAUCUAAAAAACAACCUAUACAUUUAUCAUAGGACAUGAAAUUUGUCACUUUAUUUUAGUCUUCAUAUUAAACAGCUUAAUGUU